ACACUCAUGCUUCUCUUCAUAUCGUAUACAUUUUUCGUCUUUUACUAAAGAGUUCUGUGGAGAGGAACACUAUAGUUUAAUUCUUUGGUGUCCUACUUAAAGGGGUCA
ensembl:snRNA U5 U5 spliceosomal RNA